AUGGUGGCCAAGCUGCGGCGCGACGACAUGUCGGAGGAGGCGAACCCCAUCUGCGACUCCGUCGCGUUCGGCAUCGUUGGCCAGGUGCUCCAGUCCGUGCGGAUGGAGCCGCAUCUAGCUGACUCGCAUGCUCUGGAGCAAUAUCAUAGAAUUGUAGGCAUUCUAGACACCAGCAAGAGAAGGAAUCCUGAUAAGGAGAACCCUGACAAGAAGGCUCUGUAUGUGACGUGUUUGAAGGCAUUAGCAUCAGAAAUAUCCAAAAUAGACAUCAAUUACCAUCAUUCUCUUCUGAAAAAUAUAUUCACUGUCUCCAUCUGGUAUUUGCCAAAUGAUACCAUUCCUGAGUUCUUGGAGCUAAUAACCAGAUUGGCUGCAGUGGCAGAUGAUUAUCUCACAGAAUGCCUGCAUCUGCUAGUGAACAACUUCGUCCCACCUCUUGUUGAUCGCACAAAGAUGGUUAAAUGGGCAGUUUCAAGGAAGACAUAUAUUUUUUCUCAACUGUGCAUGUGUUUGAUAAGAAUCUCCAAUAUUAUACCCUUAGCACCAAAGGUCUUAAGGGGUAUAAUUGAUAAGUGUAUGCCGAACUUAUUCGAUAGCAAAGAUAAGACAAUUUCAUUUGUCGAGUGCAUGUUGGGGCUAGAUACUGGAAGGAUGGGGGAUCUUAUCAGAGCUGUUUUGCUGGAUAAAAUUGUUCAUCUUCUAACAGAAUUAGAUGUUAAUAUAACCUGGGAAGGUAUUCUUCAAGAGCAACAUAACAAAGGUAUAUUUGACAUGGAGCUUCAAGAUUUGGAUGGCAAUGAGGAGGAGGAUGGCCUUGGACACGGAGGAGUAAAGGUUUUAUUGGGAGCAAAUGCACAUGCUGAAAAGCUUGAUGAUUUAAUGGUUGUUAUAUUUGAGCACUUCAAGUCAUUAGAUGCUCAGUGCCUGCAUAAGGAAUUCACAAUUUUGAAGACUAUAUUUCGAGCAUCUGUGCUGACAGUGGACACACCAAAAUUUGUCCAGUUUAUCAUGUUCUAUAUCUGCGCACGGGAUCCUGAAAUAUGUGCUCUCGAAUUUGCUCUUUUUCUUACUGACAUUUUUAAGAAUAAGGAAGAGGAUCCAAUUUCAAGAAUGUCCGCAGUUUCAUAUAUUGGAAGUUAUUUGUCUCGGGCAAGGUUUAUUUCUGACGAUACAGUUGUUGCUAUCAUUGGGAAGUUAGUAGAUUGGUUGGUUGACUACUGUGACCAUGAGAGCACAAGAGAGUCCACACCAAUUCCAAACCAUCAGUUAUUUUAUGCGACCUGCCAGGCUGUGAUGUAUUUCCUUUGCUUUCGCUUGAGAUAUAUUAUGGAUUGUCCAAAUCUUAAAUCAGAUCUGUUCCGUAUGCCUUUUGGAACUCUGUUUCACCACCAAUUGGAACCUCUAAAGGUAUGCUUGCCUUCGAUAGUAAGUGAGUUCCUGAGACAGGCGAAGGGUGCCAAAUUGGUCGCUAAAUUUGUGGAUCCAGCAGCUAAAGAUACAGUUGAAUCUGAUUGCUCAAGGACUUCUGGAGGAAUCAAUAGAUUUGACAUGUUCUUCCCGUUUGAUCCCUACCUACUCAAAGAAUCUGACAGAUACAUCAGUUCACAUUUCGAGGUCUGGUCCAUGGUCAUGACAGAGAGCGACGACAGUGAUGAUGUCCUUGACACCCCUGAGAUGAACGCGGAUGGUGGCGGCAGCUUCAGCAUGCCCGCGAGGAUCAAGCCUUCGGCGAGCCCUCCCAUGUCAGGAGACCCACCAUAG
rnacentral:rRNA from 1 species